UUCCUGCCCUUGUGGUGUGGGAGCAGCAUGGGCUCAAACUCCAGAACACAGAGGAGCCCCGGUGAGGGCAGGUUCUGCAGAGCUGGGCACUGAGCUGCAUGGGGACCCAGAACGAGACUGAGCCGAGUGGUGUGGCUGGCAGGAAGGAGUCUGAGCCGUGCAGAAGCCAUACCUGCACCUCCCUCCUGGAGCUGAUGUAAUGGAGGAGCUUCAUUCGUGGUCCUAAGGGAAUUCCCAUCUCUUCAAGGUUUCUCUCUGCGCACAAGAACUAGGAAGUAAGCAAAGCAGACAUUAGCAUGCACCGCUCUGCUCCUGUGCAGUCAGACCUUUGUUCUUUGUCCUUCUGUUCCUGCUGUGCUAAGAGACAUUUUGUUGUGCAGGUGAUUCACGCACCCAGGGAGGGAGGACUGGGAAGAAGAACUAAGAAACGUAAGGACAGCAAAACAGCAGAGCUGCUCACCAGCGCUUCCCCAUCUAUUUUCUCCUUCUCGAAAACAGGACAGUACUCUGACAGAUCCAACUUCUUCAGGAUUUCUUUUACUUCCUCAGCACCUCUGCUGCUUGAAGUCACCUCAGUCCCCUGCAAACAGAGCCCCCAGGGAUCCUGCUUUUUGCUCAUUCAUUUCUCUUGGUGCAUUUCAGAAUUUCUCCUCCUUCCCCAGUGCAGCUCAGCUGCCAUGCAGGUGCAUGGGAACAGCCGUGCUCAGCUGCAGAGCUCGUACCUCCCUGCUGUGCUCGUCCUCGGGAGCAGCCUUCUGGUUUGUCAGGAGAUCAAACAGAAUGAGGGACCCUAGAAACCAGGGCAGAGCAUCAGUGACUCGUUAAGGAAAAAAAAAACCUGAGUGCUUCCCUUCUGGGCUGGAAGGACCAGGACUGUCCCUGCUCAACACAAUGGGGACAUCCAUGGGACCUUACCCAAGCUGUGACCCGCAAUGGAAACCCCUCCUUUAAAGUCCGGGUUCCUCUGCAGGAAGAGCAGGUAGAGGCGGUUCAUUUCCGAGGCCACCGUGUCCAGGAUGGUCUGGCAAUAGGUGGAGCUGUUGUAGAAGAAAGCAUCCAGGAUGGUGUCGUUGAUGAAGUGACGCAGGCGGCUGAUGCUGGGCAAAGUGAUUCUCUCCAGGUCCCUGCGGGGGCGAAAAAGAGGAGAGGAAACUGCAGUCCGAGGUGCUCCAUGAGCCCAACCACAUCUCUAAGGCAAAGCUUAAGUGGAGAGGAGGACGGCUGCCACCCUGAUGUUCUAACCCAGAUUCUUCACUGGAGAGCAAAGCAGAGUGCCCAGGAGCCCCCAUGUAGGAGUGUGAGAGCCCCUUCUCUCCCAGCAGCAGCAAAGGGAAGGCAGCAGCCUCCCAGGGCUGCGGGCACUUACACGUCCACGCCGGUGGAGUGCAGGGAGCUGUGCCAAUUGACGGGCAGGAAUUCCACCCGGCCGAUCUGCUGCUGCUCCUGUGCCUUCCUGAAGUGUGCUUGCAGCAUGCUCAGGGAAACGCUCCUGAAGUCGUUGACUGGAAAAAGGCAUGAACUCUUAGCAAAGCAGCAGGGCUGCAGGGCAAGGCUUCUGCAUCAACAACGCUUAAUAAGAUAAAAGAAAAGAUCAUUACCGGGGGAAAUCCCAGCAGGGUCUUUAAUCUGCUGCUGCCACCCUAAGACCUUGAAUCUUUAACUACAAGCUCAAGGGAAGCUCCAUGUCCUUACAUGUGUGUUUACUGGACUUUGCUGCCCCGUCUGUGACAAGCCUCCUGCCCCACGUGCAGCGCUUUAACACAGCACACGGGGCAAGAAAAGCCCUCUUAGGAGUUCAAAUGGAAAAACAAAUGCUGUGAAGAUGCCUGUUUUAGAAGGGGAACCCUAUGGGAGAGGAUCGCUCCGCUCUGAGAAGGGAGAGUUUGAUUUCCAUGAUUGUAAUUGGGCAGCCCUGAAAACAGUAGUGCCAGAUGAGCGUAUGGAAGAACGGACUGCAUCAAAGCAGACGUAUUCAGCUCCUGGGCCAUAGCUCAGCAGGUUCAGACAGCUGGAAAAUCCAUAUCCAGUUUGGGAAGCCCCGUGGUGAGCAGCAGCAGAAUGCAGUGAUGAAAAGCGGUUGCCCAAACCUUUCCAGACAGUGGGAUUUCAUGGGUUAGUGAGCAUUUAUUCACGCUCCCCACUGCAGUCAGCAAAUCCGACCACGCAGCCUGCCCAGAUGAGCGCCAGGGUGGUUUGAAUGCGCUCUGACAGCGUUUCUCAUUGUCCACGCUGAGCAUUUACCCUCUGCUCAAAGCAGCCUAUGGAUGGGAGGAGCAGCCCUGCCUGUCCCACCUACCGCACUGCACGAUGCUCCUGAAGCGGAUGUCGCACGCCGGGCCGAUCCCAUGCACCACAAAAACCAGGUGGUCGAUCUGCAGAGGUUCUCCUGGGGACAGAAAGAGGUCGGAGCUCAGACCCAGGGGGUCCCUGAAAAGAAAGGGACUGACCCAGCGACCCCACCUGCAGCUCUGGCAGGCACCAGGUGGGGCAACGUUCUGUUCUUUGCUUCCCACACACUUCAGUUUGCAUAAGUGCUUUCCCAAGUGGAAAAUGAAGGGGUUAGACAGGAAGACGUGCCUGUCCUCACCGCUGGGACAGCUCACGCAAUGCUGGGCCAGGGCUGGGGGAGGGCAGCAGCAGGCAGACGCCAGCACGGAGCUGAGAGCUGUGCUCCCUUCGUGCUAUGGGCGGCUGCAGGGGAGGCAGAGGCACUACUCACCGUUGGGGAUCUCAGCUGCAAUGUUCUCUACUCCCCUCUUCACGGUCCGAGGUCGCCCUUGUUCUGUAGGAGUUGAGCCCCAGUCGUCGGAGGUGGCAGCGGGGUGGUAGUGCACCAUCAGCUGCGGGCAAGGAGGGCUGAUCACUGUGCUGCACUGUGUGCUGGAGCUGAGAACGUCCCCGCGCUCCCAGGAGGGCCAGAGGGAGGCAUUCAUGGCCAAAGGAUGGCCCUGCCCGGCCACCGGGCUCUGCUCACCUUGGGGUUGUGUAAGAUGAUGACUUCCCUGCUUGGGGACUCCAACUUCUUCUUCCACUCAUCCAGGGUCACAGCAAUCAUGUACGCUUCCUGAGGAAAAGGACGUCCUCUCUGAGUCAGCUGAGGGUACCCCAUGAAUAUUCAACUGCUUCAGACAUUUCCCACCCAUUUUAAGCGUCACUCUGUGAAAGAGGCACAGAAAUCCUCCAGGCCGAACUGGUGAGGCUGCAGGAUUAUCUCCGUAUCGCCUGCUAAAGUUCCCCAAAAGCCCCUGUUGGAAUAGCAGCAGAAGGCUUCCCUACCAGUCGGGUAUUUUCAUACAUUAGAAUGCAGAUGACUGUAAAUACGUACACACAGCUCAGCAAAGAAAGCCCCCAGCCUUUACAGCAGGGACCAGCAGGCGUCCCGUGGCUCCCUGCAGCAGUAAGAACUACUUCUUGCAUUCGCAAAGCUGUGAGCAGAGUGAGGGUGAGGCUGUCCUGUAUGACAGCAAGAACCGAACCGCAGCGGUACCAGGCAGGGUCAGGGGGAAACACAGAACAGAACAGAGACAGCAGGGAGAGGCUGCAGGAUGGGCCAGAGCUGCACGGCUGGCGGAGAACAAACAGGCAUUGAGCAGAACGCUCUGGAUGGGGCGGAAGGGGAGGCAGGGCAGUAUUUAGUUAUGUUAAUCAGCCGUGAAAACGCCGUGCCAAAGCGUGCCAAAGCCUCUUGUGAGUUCAUGUCCUCAGGUGCAACAGCAGCGCCGGCGGCCCCAUAUGGAGUUUGGGACGUCAGGGAAGCAACGAGAAGCAGGGGGGGGGCUGUUGGUGAGCUGUGCGCUCCCAGGGUGUGCUCACCUCCAGCUCCUCGCUGAAGCUCUCCGAGUAGGGGACGUAUUUGUUGUCCUUGUCCCCUUUGUAGAACCAGGUGCAGCGGCGCACCUCGGACACCUCCUCCUCCCAGAACACCGCCACGCGCUGCCUCUGCUUCAGGUGCACGUCGUACCUCCCGCCCGACGUCGGGACAACCACGUCUCCUUUGUCCUUCCCUGGGGAACCAAAGACCAGAAUGAGUCCUUUGAGGGCAAGAAAGGUGAGCCGCCGGGAUACCGUGCGCCGACCCAGAGAGAGGAGACUGCAGCACCUCUGCAGGUGCACAGCAUGAGAGAGCAGCAGCAGCAACCAGCAGAGCUGUCCGUGCGCACAGAGGACUGCGCUGGAGAGCAGCCCGGGGGAGAUGCCCGAAGCCAAACAUCCCCAGGGGCAGCAGGUGAGAGGAAAGCACUGAGCUGUAAGCAGCCGCCUCCCUCCUGGCUUUGGGCACAGCCUUUCAGGGGCUCUCCCUGCCUGUGCUGAGGUGGCAACGUGUGAAAUGGUGGGCCUGGGACCCAGCAGGGGUGCAGAUCUCCGGAACUGAGAGCUGCUCGGAUCCCAGCGCAGCCUCCACUGCCUGCCCUCCCUGUGCUGUCACAGUGAAGCAGCAGUUUCCCUCGGGACAGAUCUCCCUGCUGCCAUUUCUGCCCUCCUGCUCACACUCUCGUUUCCCCUACGAAGAUGCUUUGCAACGCAAUGAUGUAUAAUUUACAGCACGUGCCAAAUUAACGAGGCCGGACCUUACGCUGCCUCCUCCACCCUCGCUGUCCGUGCCCUUACAGCUCCAGCAGUGGGUACAGUGCCACCGAGCGCAGGUCUCUAUUACAGAUUCCAAAGGGGGAAUGAUGCAACCCAAGCAGGAGCUGUGGGCUUUCCCUUUGCUGCUUGCAGCGUGCAUCACCGCCCUGCUCUCCCCCCCCGGGCACACACCUGAUGCUUCCCAUUGACCUCACCGGGCCGGUUCCCCAUCACACACGCAGGGCAUGAGGUGUUUACAGCAGAAGGCCACUGAAGCACAGCCCUGACGUGGGCUGAAGGCAGUGGGUGCAGCACCAUCCCCGCGUCCGGUCGCAUCGGCUGCACGCAGGACGCGAUGGAGGCAGCGGGGGGGGGUGCGGACGGAUCCCCUACCUGCACCGUGAGCCUCCUCCAGCCGCUCCGAGUCCUGAGUGCUGAACGGCAGCCACCGCUCCCGCCCGCCGGUCACCUUGCAGUAAAACCAAUGCGGAGCGACCGCUUCGUACCCAUUCCCCGCGUCCCACUCCGCAGCGUCGGGGGCGGCCCGGGAGGGCAGCGCCGGGGGCCGCUCCUGGGCAGACAUGAUGCUCCUGGACAAAGGGGAAGGACGGACGGAUGGAGGGACGGACGGACGGACGCACCCGCGGAUCGCCGCACCCACCCGCAACGCGCGGCGGGGCACAGCGCGCAGCCCACCGCCCGCACCCGGAGGCCGCGCUCCGCUCCCCGCCGCGCCCGCGCGUCCCUCCGCGCCCCCGGACGGACACCUCGAGGCCGUCGGCGGCCGCUCACCCCCAGCAGAAGGGACUGCCCAUGGAAGCAGCAGCAGCGUCAGCCCCGUGUGGCAUUCGGACCUGCCCGGGUGGUGCUCACACGACAGACCACAGGGGAUGCUGCAGGGCCGACUGCAGCCAUCUCACAUCUGCUCCCCUUGGCUGCAGUGGCACUCACAUGCACCAGCUUUUGCAAGAGCAAAUCCCAGACCUCGUUGAGAUCCUGCCCAAAAGGAAUGCGAGGCUUUGUGCCAACAGCUGUGCCAGUGCAAUAGAAAACAGAGGAAGAAAUGGACUUUGGUAACUCCUUGGUAAUCCCAGUUCCUUCCCACUCCCAGGGAUUCCUCGGUGUGCUGAGUGCUGCAUGUGACCUCAGACACAUCCAAAGAGCUGCAAAGGUCAACCCAUGCACACACUCCACCGCUGCCCUGCAGGCUGCCCUGAGGGUGGCAGCCAGCAGUAAAUCCCUUCCAAAACACAGCCAGCAGUCCUGGAGUGGGACUGCAGCACUCAGAGUGUGCACUGCCCCCCAGCAGCACCCAACGAGAGCUCCAUGUGCCACACUACCCCUAAGCCCCACCUGCUGCUACAGCCCGGCCGGGCUCUGCCUGCAGGCGGCUGUAAGCUGAGCAAUCUGUACACAACUUCCCCUUAAAAACAAAACAAAACAAAAAGAGACUUUGAGAGACUUAAUUACAAAAUAACAUUUAAAAGUCAUUGGGGUUUAUUAUCUCAUUACGCACAGCAAUGAUUCGCUUCACGUGUUGUAACCAGAAGGUUAACAGUAGGCAUUACAAUUAAAAAGUGGAUUUGA